GAUGAAGAACGUAGCGAAAUGCGAUAAGUAAUGUGAAUUGCAGAAUUCAGUGAAUCAUCGAAUCUUUGAACGCACCUUGCGCCCCUUGGUUAUUCCAAAGGGCAUGCCUGUUUGAGUAUCAUGAACACCUCAACUCUUGUGGUUUCCCACAAUGAGCUUGGACUGUGGAGGUUUUGUUGGCCCUGUGGUCAGCUCCUCUCAAAUGGAUCAGCUUACCGGUGUUUGGUGGCAUUACGGGUGUGAUAACUAUCUACGCUCGUGGUCGUCUCCAAAUAACCUCCAGUGAUGGAGGUUCGCUGGAGCUUAUAAAUGUCUCUCCCCAGUGAAGACAGCCUUUGACCGUUCGUUCUCAAAUCAGGUAGGACUACCCGCUGAACUUAAGCAUAUCAAUAAGCGGAUGA
rnacentral:misc_RNA from 1 species